UUACAGCCAAAGGUUACUAACGUAUUGACUCGAGGUGUGAAUAAUUAAGUACAUUUACAAACAUUUCUGAAAACAUGCUUUCACUUUUCAUUAUGUGAUAGUGUGUAGAUGGGUGAGAGAGAAAAAAAUAUCUAUUGAAUCCAUGUUGAAUUAGGGCUAUAAAAGAAAGAAAUGUGGAAUAAAUCAAGGGUUAUUUCUCAAGCCACUGUAUACUGUAUGCAGGCUGGCUAAUUUGAGCGGUCUUCAUCAUGCCGGUUUGCUGGUGACAAAUGGGUGUGGAACGCAACGCGGCAGAUGGCCCGGCCUCCUCAUCAAUCUGAGGAGCCAGGCGGGUGAUGGAUGGUUCCUCGGGUGUAAACAGUCUUUAACGAGAGAGACAAGCAGAGACAAGCACCUUUUGUCAUAAAGGCUGGUAUAUCGGUGCAGGAAAGAAAUGGCAUAAGCAAGGAUUGAGAGCAUAUAGGUUUUAUUCUAUGACUGAAUGUUUUUGGCUGAACAGUGAAAGGACAUUUCUCUUGGUUUCAGUUCAGUUUAAAUUCCACGGGAAAAAUAGUCUUAUUGAGUUGUUUUCUACUUGUUUUUCCUGAGACGUGCUUUUGGUACGAUCGCCAAAACAAGUAACAGGCAAAUGUCAUCCUUCCAUCACUACACUCAAAACAGUGUUUCUGCAGAGUAAACAAAACAGUGUUUCUGCAGAGUAAACAAAUCAGUGUUUCUGGAGAGUAACCGAGAAACAACAAUCACUGACUGCAAUAGGUCACAUCAAUGUCACACAGACACCCCUAGAAACAACAACCACUGACUGCAAUAGGUCACAUCAAUGUCACACAGACACCCCUAGAAACAACAAUCACUGACUGCAAUAGGUCACAUCAAUGUCACACAGACACCCCUAGAAACAACAACCACUGACUGCAAUAGGUCACAUCAAUGUCACACAGACACCCCUAGAAACAACAAUCACUGACUGCAAUAGGUCACAUCAAUGUCACACAGACACCCCUAGAAACAACAAUCACUGACUGCAAUAGGUCACAUCAAUGUCACACAGACACCCCUAGAAACAAGACUGAGACACUGUGUGACAUGGAGACGUCAUCAACUCUCUGCCUUCCACUCCACUUACAGAAAAUACAAGUUAUACUUCAUUCCAAAAUAAACGUUUUGGAUACAGAGAACAGCGAAGGAGUGAGAGAGAAUAAAAAUGAGAGGAAUCUCACUUUGCGACCACCAGUGCCUGCUAUGAAUAAAUCCUAAAGGCUCGGCAUUGCGGGCGGCGAGAGAGAGAGAGAGAGAGAGAGAUAGAGAGAUAGAGAGAGAUAGAAAACAUUGGUGUAUCUUUUACUCAGAAGCCUGGAGAGGCCAGUCAGACUGCAGAUAAAAAUACUUCACCUCCCCAUCUCCAUGCCGACUGUGUAAGAGCUGAUCUGAGGUCCAA